ensembl:lncRNA
GAUCUAAGCUGAAAUUAUGAUCCUGGAAAAGCUGAAAUGUACAGCACUAGCCCCUCAGCUCUGAGAAGCUCCCAGGCAUUCCUGAUACGUGGGCAGGUAAGGUGUGGCUCAGAAUGACAAGUGUCCUUUCUGAUGACCAGCCUUGAAAGGAAAUUUGAGUGUCAGUGUUGCAAAGACCCCAUGAGAUACACACGGGAAAAGAGGUAGACUCUGCUCUCAUACCCUGUUCAUGAAGGAAGGCUACACAACAGUCUAGGACUGAGGGGAUGCAGAAUGUCUGAAGAUGUGUAACCAGCAGCAAAAGAGCUAAAGAGGACAGAAACACAGGCCCAGCUGGCCUAAGACAUCCAAGGCACUGUGGGCUUGCAGUUUAGCUCAUCCAUUCCCAUCUGGGCAUUCUCCCUUCUGAAGCCUCACCAAGGGUUCAGUUAGGCAGCAUGCCUGCUGAUACUUCUUUUGAGUGCAUACUGGAAGCUUGGUUUGGGCAUUUUACCUGGCAUCUAAUCUAGGCCCUGGUGUGUAUUGGUUCUGAAAACUGGGACAUCAUCUCCAAUUUAUCGAAUUCCUCCAAGUGUCCCUGCAACUGAUUUACACACAUGCUGUCCCCUCCCCCAUGCGCUGUGCACCACAGAUGCAAGUUUCUGAUGGUCCCCACCCACCCCUGCCACCAGCUGCUAUACACUCCCACUUACUCUCACAGGCCCCCAGAGGCCCCCAGGGAGUCCCCAACACACACCUCCGUCCUUAUCUGGGGGAGGGGACUGGGUUGUUGGAAACUUCAAUCAAGCAGGGAUGUUAACAGCUGCAGGGACACCCAAGGAAACAACAGGCUUGGGUGGAGAGGCUGGCCUCACACAGACUGCAGAGAUCUGGGGAUGCGUGUGUAUGCCAGCAGCCUCACAAACAUGCGGACAUCUGCCUCUCCCUCGGACACAUUUCUCAGGUGAUAAAUGUGGGCGUCUGUGUCAGUGGGAACUUCUUCUGGAGUGGGCCGGGUAACGCUGUUAGGCAGAACUCUCGACAGACUCAUAGGCCCCUCACAGCGCCCCUCCACACCCCACUAACUGUACACGACAAGCAGUUAGUGUGUGGUGAGGAACUCUUUCUCCUUCCUUUUUCCUGCCCACAGCUGCAGUGGGGCCCCGGGUCUCAGGGGGCGGAUGUCACCUGCCAGGGGUGGGCUUUUUCCCCGCUCCAUACCUGGUCUUGUUCCAGGCUCUUAACCCCAGUGAACCCUUUGGGUGGUCACAUCCUGGUAAAAGAACUUUAGGGAGCACCUCAACACCACUGCUCAGCAGGCCCUCCUCCCCCACUGUUUCCUCUCCAUCAGACAGGCCUCUCUGUCCCUGGUUUUCCCCUACAAAUGCCCUUUUUUCAGUGGGGCUGGGUGUAAAGGGACAAAGUAGGGACUUUUUAAAAGGAAGAACUUUACUAGGGAAGUAAGAGAGGAACCAAAAUCAAAGCAAGGAAAUAUCAAAACCUUGGCUGUUUCAGUCUGCCCAUUCAGAACCCAGCCCUGCCCUGUUUCUUUGCCUCCCCUCUGAGAAGCUCUGGCCCAACUUCAUCCCUGUGCAAGACCUUUGCUUGCCCGACCCCUGACCCCUGACAAGGUGCACGAAUAGUCAGUGCUCCAGGCUGUUCCAGAGGAGCACAAGCAGGGGUGUCCCUCACUCCAGUCCAGCCUGUCCCAGAGCUUCUGCCUCCUGGACUCAGCUUGCUGGGUCCAGCUUAGAUAUUAGAACACAGAGGUUUCCAUGAGUGGCCAGAGGGUAGGAUGGAACGAGGAAGGGGCUGACUGUCAGUAGGGCAAAAAGGGUGGAGGGGGAAAGGCUGCGAAGCGAGAGUAGAGAGUCGAGGGGUGUUUACAUAAGAGAAUCAGUUUGGUCCCAGAUUUUCUGCAUCCUCCCAAGGAUUGCCACAUUCCCAGGAAGAGCUUUGGAUCGAGAA